rnacentral:misc_RNA from 1 species
CAGAGAGGGGCUUCGCGCUCCAGGGGGUUCGCCUCCGCCUCUCAACCCUGUGAAAACAUACCUCGUUGCUUUGGCGGGCCUUGGGGUCAUACUCAUGCCGGGCUCCUGCCCGGCGAGUGCUCGCCGAAAGCCCACCAAAACUCGUUUAAUUUAUGCAGUCAGAGUCUAAAUACAAAUAAAGCA